CCAUACUGUGUCCAUGUGUUCCUACUUGUGAUGUAAUACAAAAUCAUUCCUCUAUCAGAGAAGUUUUAGAUAGUUCUUAGUCAGUUUUGAUCUAAGUAUGGGAAUGCCUACCUCAGCAAUGAUAUUUUCAUAUAUAUNNNNNNNNNNNNNNNNNNNNUAUUGUUGAAUGGUUUUGCAGGUUUGACCGGGGUAUCCAUAGGAAAAUCCUUGAAAUGUUAAAAGUCCUUCACUCUUCUUAGAUGAUCAAAAAACAUCCUCAUCUACUACAGACUUCGCACUUUAGGGGUAAAUCUGUUACACAAAAAAUUGUCACCAUGACUUUCUACAGUUUGUGUGAGUCCAUCAACACUCAUACAUACCUCCUUUGCAAGUCUUAAGCCUCAUCUCUUCAUGUCAAGCCUUGAAAAUGGGAGAAAUACCUUAAAAAUAUCUCAAAUCCUGGUUUCGCACUUUCUCCUAGCAUUGCCUGCAGUGCCGCACCCAAUGGUCAUGUUUCCUGCGAACCUUACUGCUUUGUCUAUUGAGUAAUGGGUGCGAACCCCUGUAAAAGUUAAAAAGGCAUGAGUUCAUUCUUAAAAACACAUCUUGGGUCACUUCUAGACACUUCUAGAAGGAAUAUUACGCUGGCAAGUCUGCUCCACCUUGGUUCAUCCAUUCCAUAACUAAGGGAUCUAACUCCAUGAUAUGAGGUGCUUAUCCCAUUGAAGGAGGAACCUAUUCCUUCAAUGGUGGACAUGCAACUUUCUCCAUUUGCACUAUAAAUUCAUGCAUUGGGUUGGUUGUAAGGGAGGUUGAAAGCUGAAGAUGCUUGAGGGUAAAUGUUGCUGAAAACUAGGCUUCCUUUUUGAGCUUGUGAGAGGAGAGAUCACAUACCUUUAAUGUCAUUUGGGAAGUGAGUGAGGCUUGUCAAAGUAGAGGAGACUCUUGCUGGACACUGGAAAGAAAUUGUGCAACAUCAAGGCAAAGGUUGUAAGAUUCUUUUAUUCAUAUAAAUUUAAUACAAUCAAGUUUGUUUUUCUCAAUGAACUGUCUCUAAUGGUUUAUUUUAUGAGCUCCUUGAUCUUCAUAAUGAACAUGUUUUGUUAUACGUAGGUAUGCUUUGAUGUGUGCUUGUUUGUGUAUGCAGGUUAUUAAACGGGAACUACUUGAAGCUGUUGCAAUAAAACUACCUUAAACAAGCAUUUGACCGAGGUAGGGCCUGUUACACCUCUUAGUAUUCAUUAAUAAAUUGAAACAUGUUUAGAGAAAAGUAGAUUUGCUUGUGCUCUUUGUUUCUAGAUGUCAUUCAAUACUAGGGAGAUCGGUCUUGUCCGCAAGAAUGAUUUAUCCGACCAACAAUAGCCUAUGGUCAAUAGAACAAUGUAGGUAAGGGAAGUCUGUAAAACAGAUCCGUAACUUCGAGAAAAGGAUUGGCUCUGAGGGUUGGGCCUAGGAGUCUGCGCCCUCAACUUGUGGGCUGUUGGCAGUCUGCCCGAGCUGCUCUGGCAGCAAGGGCAGGCAGUCACGUGCCGAUUGGGCUACGGGCAUAGAAUGCCCCUUGCCGAGGGCUUUUCCCUAGGCGUCGAACAGUCGACUCAGAACUGGUACAGAUAAGGGGAAUCCGACUGUUUAAUUAAAACAAAGCAUUACAAUGGUCCUUGAGGAUGCUGACACAAUGUGAUUUCUGCCCAGUGCUCUGAAUGUCAAAGUGAAGAAAUUCAACCAAGCACAGGUAAACGGCGAGAGUAACUAUGACUCUCUUAAGGUAGCCAAAUGCCUCGUCAUCUAAUUAGUGAAGCGCAUGAAUGGAUUAACGAUAUCCCCACUAUCCAUAUCCACUAUCUAGCGAAACCACAGCCAAGGGAACAAGCUUGGUAGAAUCAACGGGGAAAGAAGACCCUGUUGAGCUUGACUCUAGUUCGACUUUGUGAAAUGACUUGAGAGGUGUAGAAGAAGUGGGAGCCGUUUUUGGCGCAAGUGAAAUACCACUAUUUUUAACGUUAUUUUACUUAUUACGUGGGGCGGAGACAGGGCAUUGCCCCUGUUUUUGGCCUUAAGGCACGUUUCGGCGGGUCGAUCUGGGGGGAAGACAUUGUCAGGUGGGGAGGUUGGCUGGGGCAGUAAAUCCGUUAAAAGAUAAGGCAGGUGUCCUAAGAUGAGCUCAACGAGAACAGAAAUAUCGUGUGGAACAAAAGGGUAAUAGCUCAUUUGAUUUUUAUUUUCAGUACGAAUACAAACCGUGAAAGCGUGGCCUAUCGAUCCUUUAGAUUUUUGGAAUUUGAAGCUAGAGGUGUCAUAAAAGUUACCACAGGGAUAACUGGCUUGUGGCAGGUCACCGUUCAUAUUGACGUUUUUUUUUUUAUCCUUCGAUGUUGGCUUGUCCUAUAAUUGUGAAGCAGAAUUCACCAAGUGUUGGAUUGUUCACCCACCAAUAGGGAACAUGAGUUGGUUUUAGACCAUCGUGAGAUAGGUUAGUUUUACCUACUGAUGAACCGCAUUACAAUAGUAAUUCAUAUUAGUACGAGAGGAACCGUUGAUUCACACAAUUGGUCAUCGUGCUUGGUUGAAAAUCUAGUGGCGCGAAGCUAUCAUCUGUCGGAUUAUGACUGAACGCUAUAAGUCAGAAUCCACGCUAGAAGCGGUGCAUGUCACUCUUUGACUAUAUCUCGACCCAUAGUAGGGGCGUCGCUUUGUCGCCCCCAGAGGCCUGUGUCAUUUGCAAACUGUGACUGUGAAGCAUCUCGAUUGCGGUAGCUUUGAAGUUCAAUUCCAAACAGUCGUUGAGAAGAAU
rnacentral:rRNA from 1 species